AGAUGGGGUCUUCUUUUGUUGCCCAGGCUGGCCACAAAUUCCUGGGCUCAAGUGAUCCUCCCACCUCGUCCUUGUAGAGAUGAGAUUUAGUUACGUCGUCCAGGCUGAUCUCAAACUCCUGGGCUAAAUCGAUUGUCUCACCUCAGCCUCUCAAGUAUGUUAUGAAGGUUAUAUGUUAGGAAGGGUCCCAGGAGGUAGACCCACACAGAUGGGAUUUGGGCAUAGGUUUGGUUUCCCAGGGGGCAGUGCUGAGCUCUUUGCCAGUGGGAAAUGGGAUGCUGGUGAUUUCCAGUAGGUGACCUCACAGUGACUCAAGCUACCACUUACUGUUGAUUGUGACGAAAUGCCAGCUGAGGCACAUGCCUUGGGAGCUAAGUGGUUGCUGCCCUUGACCACUGUGAAGACUGGUGUGGGAAGGGUCGUUUUGGAUGCACUUGAGCAGGGGUCCCCAACCCCUGAGCCAUGGAGCCGCAAGGAGCCACACAGCAGGAGGUGGGACCAUCCAGUUGCAGGAAAACAAGCUUAACACGCCCACUAAUUCUACAUUAUGCUCCUACCUCCCGGCAGCCUCUCCAGGCCCAGAACUUUCUCCAGUCAGCCUCUACAGACCAAGCUCAUGACUCACAAUGGCCUAUUUAGGCCCAUACCCUACGUCACGGCAGCCUCCGCAGAUGAGGCUACUGCCUCACAACAGCCUCCACAGGCACAGCUCCAUCGUUACAAUGGCCUCUUUAGACCCAGCUCCUGCCUCCCAGCCUUCUCUCCAGGCCCUGAACUUUCUCAAGUCGACCUCACCAGGCCCAGCUCAUGCUUCUUUGCAGCCUCUCCAGGCCCAGCU
rnacentral:lncRNA from 1 species